GCGGGAGCUGCAGGAGCGCAUGCAGAGCAGGGUGGGCCAGCGGGGCAGUGGGCUGUCCAUGUCGGCCGCCCGCAGCGAGCACGAGGUGUCGGAGAUCAUCGAUGGCCUCUCAGAGCAGGAGGUGAGUCCAGGCCCUGACUCUGGCCUCAGCUCCUUUUCCCUGGCAUCCCCCGUGAGGGUGCAGAGGCCCUAGCCAGAAAGCACCUCCUGGGUAGUUUACGUCGAGGGGCUUUGCCACCAAAGCAUGGGUGGAAUCAAGGUGGGUAUCGAGGUACCCAGGACUAGCAGCCUCAGGAAGCUGCGGCCCGUCCCAGGCCUGCAGGGGCAAGUGGAGAGAGGGGUGUUAACGCGUCUGAGAGGGAGGGUGGC
rnacentral:sRNA from 1 species